rnacentral:rRNA from 1 species
GGCGUGGAUGAGGCAUGCAAGUCGAACGGAAUAAUGACUUCGGUUGUUAUUUAGUGGCGGAAGGGUUAGUAAUACAUAGAUAAUCUGUCCUCAACUUGGGAAUAACGGUUGGAAACGACCGCUAAUACCGAAUGUGGUAUGUUUAGGCAUCUAAAACAUAUUAAAGAAGGGGAUCUUCGGACCUUUCGGUUGAGGGAGAGUCUAUGGGAUAUCAGCUUGUUGGUGGGGUAAUGGCCUACCAAGGCUUUGACGUCUAGGCGGAUUGAGAGAUUGACCGCCAACACUGGGACUGAGACACUGCCCAGACUUCUACGGAAGGCUGCAGUCGAGAAUCUUUCGCAAUGGACGAAAGUCUGACGAAGCGACGCCGCGUGUGUGAUGAAGGCUCUAGGGUUGUAAAGCACUUUCGCUUGGGAAUAAGAGAGAUUGGCUAAUAUCCAAUCGAUUUGAGCGUACCAGGUAAAGAAGCACCGGCUAACUCCGUGCCAGCAGCUGCGGUAAUACGGAGGGUGCUAGCGUUAAUCGGAUUUAUUGGGCGUAAAGGGCGUGUAGGCGGAAAGGAAAGUUAGAUGUUAAAUCUUGGGGCUCAACCCCAAGCCAGCAUCUAAUACUAUCUUUCUAGAGGGUAGAUGGAGAAAAGGGAAUUCCACGUGUAGCGGUGAAAUGCGUAGAUAUGUGGAAGAACACCAGUGGCGAAGGCGCUUUUCUAAUUUACACCUGACGCUAAGGCGCGAAAGCAAGGGGAGCAAACAGGAUUAGAUACCCUGGUAGUCCUUGCCGUAAACGAUGCAUACUUGAUGUGGAUAGUCUCAACCCUAUCCGUGUCGUAGCUAACGCGUUAAGUAUGCCGCCUGAGGAGUACACUCGCAAGGGUGAAACUCAAAAGAAUUGACGGGGGCCCGCACAAGCAGUGGAGCAUGUGGUUUAAUUCGAUGCAACGCGAAGAACCUUACCUGGGCUUGACAUGUAUUUGACCGCGGCAGAAAUGUCGUUUUCCGCAAGGACAGAUACACAGGUGCUGCAUGGCUGUCGUCAGCUCGUGCCGUGAGGUGUUGGGUUAAGUCCCGCAACGAGCGCAACCCUUAUCGUUAGUUGCCAACACUUAGGGUGGGAACUCUAACGAGACUGCCUGGGUUAACCAGGAGGAAGGCGAGGAUGACGUCAAGUCAGCAUGGCCCUUAUGCCCAGGGCUACACACGUGCUACAAUGGCCAGUACAGAAGGUAGCAAUAUCGUGAGAUGGAGCAAAUCCUCAAAGCUGGCCCCAGUUCGGAUUGUAGUCUGCAACUCGACUACAUGAAGUCGGAAUUGCUAGUAAUGGCGUGUCAGCUAUAACGCCGUGAAUACGUUCCCGGGCCUUGUACACACCGCCCGUCACAUCAUGGGAGUUGGUUUUGCCUUAAGUC